rnacentral:rRNA from 1 species
UACGUAGGGGGCAAGCGUUGUCCGGAUUUAUUGGGCGUAAAGAGCGUGUAGGCGGCCAUUCAGGUCAGCUGUGAAAACUCGAGGCUCAACCUCGAGACGUCGGUUGAAACCGUUUGGCUAGAGUCCGGAAGAGGAGAGUGGAAUUCCCGGUGUAGCGGUGAAAUGCGUAGAUAUCUGGAGGAACACCGGUGGCGAAGGCGGCAUCCUGGACCAAUACUGACGCUGAGGAGCGAAAGCCAGGGGAGCAAACGGG